UCCCCAGUGCUUCACCUGUGCGACCUGUAGGAACCGUCUGGUGCCUGGCGACCGUUUCCACUACGUUAACGGGACGAUCUUCUGUGAACACGACCGGCCGGGGGGGGUCUGCUCAGCGGACACCCCCCCCCUCUGCAGAACAACAGCAUGCUGUCGGACCAGAAGGUCUGCUGAGGAUUAGGAAGAAAAACCAGAUGUGUGCCUUCUCCCCGACCUUCAUUCUUUGUCUCUCCUUCACCUCCUUCCUCUACCUGUCCUCCAGUCUGGAUGAAGUCGUACUCGUUUAGAUUUCAACAUCCCAAACAGACACUGGUCUCCUCUGAGGACUGUGAGGAGAGAAAUCUGGACACAGUGCAGGAGGACGAGGACGCUGAGGAUGGCUGGAAUUUAUGUAGACUGUUGUCUAUUGUGAACUGUGGAAAUAUAACUGAUAAGAAGUGGCAUGGCUAACGAGCAAAAAGGAGGACUGCCAUGCAAUUAUCCAAUUUGGAAAUCCAGCGUAAUCAUUCACGUUUACCCGCUAACCAAUCACAGUGGAGGAGAGAAGACUGACAGCACUGGGUAUAUUUCAGAAGGUGAAUAUACCUCCAACACCACAGACCACACACACUUAGUUUGACCAUGUUUCUUUUGGUGUGAGGAAAAGAAAGUAUGGAUUUGGUGAAUCGUGAUUCCAGCUGCUGGAUGUUUCCCUGCAGACUCUGAGCGACAGGUGAAGAGGAAAACAUCUGUAUAGAUACCUUCAACAUGUCUCUGUUUGAUUGUCUUUCAAAUAUUAAACAAACAGGAUAAUAUUCAGAUUUGUUGAAGGAUGAUAGACGCCAUGUUGUGGUUCCCGUCUCGGACAGAAGCAGCUUGAUUUAUCCUGUCACAGUUUGUGUACUAAACUCAUAUUAAAGUCAAUAUUUCGGUAAAUAAGGACCAUUCAUUUUUUCCCAGUUUGAUUUUGAGAAACCUUGAGCGAAGUAGGCGAUUCAUCCCGAUGAAUUACGCUCUGCUGCUUCCCCUAUGCUAACUGGAAAAGGGAUAAAAUAAUUAAUUCCUCAUACAAUUAAUACAAUUGAAUGCAUUGUAAUGAAUAUAAACGCAUAAUAAUUUGCAUUUUCUGAUGCUGAUUUGCUGUUUUUGCAAAUGUUGUUCAAUUUUUGUUCAACAUUUGGACCAAACUUGAUUUUCUAUCUCAGUAAGUAAGUAUAAUUUAAGUCAAAGUCGUGGGCAAUCGCUUAUAAAUGUUUUGUAUUGAGCCAUAAGUGAAGGCCCGUCUAAAGAAUCCCGAAAUGAGAAAUGGCGACAGUAUAAGAGUCUAACUCCACAAUUCAGUUCUUUAUCGUCUUUUCAGACGCUUUUUCCAACACUUAACUUUCUCCGGACUAACACACGGUUCAUUUGUGAAUCAGAACUACUUAUUUUGAUGUAGGAAACAAAACGACAAAAAAGUUUAAGGUUUUAAUGAUGACGUUUUUAUGCAGAAGAAUAAAAGUAUUGCUUUUCCCAAAAAGAAA